rnacentral:rRNA from 1 species
UACGGAGGAUGCGAGCGUUAUCCGGAUUUAUUGGGUUUAAAGGGUGCGUAGGCGGGAUGCCAAGUCAGCGGUAAAAAUGCGGUGCUCAACGCCGUCGAGCCGUUGAAACUGGCGUUCUUGAGUGGGCGAGAAGUAUGCGGAAUGCGUGGUGUAGCGGUGAAAUGCAUAGAUAUCACGCAGAACUCCGAUUGCGAAGGCAGCAUACCGGCGCCCUACUGACGCUGAGGCACGAAAGCGUGGUAUCGAACAGG